rnacentral:tRNA from 1 species
GGAAGCGUCGCAUAGUGGUUAGUGCAACAGGUUGCUAACCUGUGUCACCGAAAGGUGACUCGUGGGUUCGAAUCCCACCGCUUCCG